rnacentral:rRNA from 1 species
ACGCUCGACACCUACGGGAGGUAGCAGUGGGGAAUAUUGGGCAAUGGGCGCAAGCCUGACCCAGCAACGCCGCGUGAAGGAAGAAGGCUUUCGGGUUGUAAACUUCUUUUGUCAGGGAACAGUAGAAGAGGGUACCUGACGAAUAAGCCACGGCUAACUACGUGCCAGCAGCCGACGGUAAUCUGAGGCGGGCGUGGCAAGGC